rnacentral:lncRNA from 1 species
UUCAACCAUUAGCUAAUCCCUCCACAUACUGAAUCAAAAUCACUACAUUCAAUAGAUGAUUACUGAAGUUUCUAUUGCAGCGAUAAUAUAUUACUAAAAAUCCAUAAGAACAACAAUACAUAUACUAAAUAUAUUCAACUCUUAAGGCAAAUAAUCCAAAUCCAUAUAUACAUGCCUAACUUUUUUUCAAAACCCAUUGCAGUAUCUUCUCAAUGAAUCCUUUCAGCAAACCCAUUGCAGCAAAAUCCUUUCAGCAAACCAGGUGUACUUUUACCUCACUCAUUGUAGCAAAAUCGAAUAUAAAACUAAAGAACUGAAAAAUAUCCCAAACUUCUAACUAAUAACUUAAAAUUAAGGCACAAAUCUACAAUUUCAGCAAAUAACGUUCUCAAAUCAAAUUAAAAUACCUAAAACUGAGCAAAUUUAAAAUAUACACCGAAAAUUAAAAUUCACAAGUUAAAUUCCAACAAAAUCAAACAACGCAAAGACCAUAUUAUUGAUGCUCUCUGUGGAUGGAACUAUUGAUGGUAACAGCAGAGGUGAGCUUGGUUAUCAGCGACAACGUUGAAAACUGGACAGUAAAUUGAUGUCGAUCACCAUUCUCUUCAUCAUUUAUGGAUGUGAUAUAGAAGAAGAUGAGAUUGAAGAAGCUACAUGCAGAUCUCAGACGAUGAUCGAGGACUAGAGGAGAAGCGAUUGAUGUUGAUGAUGUGAAUAAUGAGAUUGAAGGAGCCAUUUUCUAAGAGGGCGACGAUGAUUGAAGGGCUUGAGAAGAGUCGCUGGAGAAGAGAAAAAGAAGAAGAAGAAGAAGAAGGCGAUUGAAAAGUGAGAGAAAGAGUUAGGAUGGGAAGGAAGAACAGAGAAAUAAAGAUAGGUACGAG